rnacentral:rRNA from 1 species
ACUCCUACGGGAGGCAGCAGUGGGGAAUAUUGCACAAUGGGCGCAAGCCUGAUGCAGCCAUGCCGCGUGUAUGAAGAAGGCCUUCGGGUUGUAAAGUACUUUCAGCAGUGAGGAAGGGCGGGUACGGUUAAUAGCGUGCUCGUUGUACGUUAGCUGCAGAAGAAGCACCGGCUAACUCCGUGCCAGCAGCCGCGGUAAUACGGAGGGUGCGAGCGUUAAUCGGAAUUACUGGGCGUAAAGCGCAUGCAGGUGGUUUGUUAAGUCAGAUGUGAAAGCCCGGGGCGUCAACCUCGGAAUUGCAUUUGAAACUGGCAGACUAGAGUACUGUAGAGGGGGUAGGAAUUUCAGGUGUAGCGGUGAAAUGCGUAGAGAUCUGAAGGAAUACCGGUGGCGAAGGCGGCCCCUGGACAGAUACUGACACUCAGAUGCGAAAGCGUGGGAGCAAACAGGAUUAGAUACCCCGU